UGACAUCUGAAAGUUGAACACUGUGUGGCCGGAUAACAUUAAUGUUUCGCCCUUCCCCGGUACAGUCCGGACUGAACCAAUGGAGAAGAAAUCGAGGAGGGACGGGUGUCACAACGUAACGAAGAAAGCUGGGAAGUAGCGAUCGCUUGUACCCGUUUAUUAUUUAAUUAAUAUUUAUUGGAUAGAUCUACAUUAUUCAACCAGUUGACCGGAUGAUCUGUUAUGUAGGUCUCUAAGCCUGCAAGGUGUAUAGAAUAAGAAAGUGAAUUGCUACGCACUUCGUAUACAUGCCUGACAAACAGCCUACCCAUCAUGGCGCCACAUAACAAUUCUGAUUAGAGGCCUGAUGUUGCUGUUGUAAUGCUAAUAACACUUUCCACAAGCAUUUGUGUAAAGAGAUGUGGGAAUGACCUUGGGAGAUUAGGCCCAGAGACAUGCCUAAAAAAACAGUCAGCGAAGAGACAACAUAGAAGGGCAAGAAGUUCAGAAGACAUAUGCCAUAAUAUAUUGAAAUAUAAAGGAGACAGAGGAGGAACUGGACUUUUAGACUUGCAAGAGUCUGUUGAGGUAGCCUUAUAGUAAAGUAGAAUUAGCUUAUAUGGUUGUGUUUCCUGUUCUGGAAACUGUUCAGGUCCACUGCUAAGGCUAAUGAUUUCUAUAGUGAUAAUGUUUAAUCUGUUUUUGUUCUGGACAUACGUUGUUCAAUUUAGUCAAUUUAUGAUGUUCAAGGCGAUCAAACCGGUCAGUCCUAAAGGAGUGCUCUUGACUGCUCUUUAGACGGCCAGAUCCUGAAGAUGAAACUCAAAUACUUUGGCCACCUAAUGAGAAGGAAGGACACACUGAAGAAGAGCCUAAUGCUGGGAAAGAUUGAGGGCAAAAGAAGAAAGAGAUGACAGAGAAUGAGGUGGCGAGAUAGAGUCACUGAAGCAGUAGGCGUGAGCUUAAAUGGACUCCAGAGGAUGGUAGAGGACAGGAAGGCCUGGAGGAACGUUGUCCCUGGUGUCGCGAUGGGUCAGACAUGACUUCUCAACUAACAACAACAACAACAAAAUAAUAUUCAAAUUUCUAUGAGAGAUAUGCAAAUUUCUUUUGCAUAUCUCUCAUAGCCUCAUCUAUGCUCUAGACAUAAGGAAAAAAGAUACUUCAGCACUUGGAUGAGAAACUUGCAUCACUCUUCCACAACCACAAAUCCUCCUAGCGGAUUCCAUUUUUUAACUUUGUUUUAUUUACAUUUAUUAAGAAUUUUCAUAUAAUAAAAGAUUAAUCAAAAGGAAAAAGAACAAGAAAAACAACAGAGUGCAAGAAAGAAAAAGAAAGCUAAAAUUAAGAAAUACAGUAUAGAAAUAAUUUCUGGCCGCCUUUUAAACAGAUAAUUAUGACUAAUAAUGAGGACCCGGAUUGUGGGGGCAAUAAGGUGACUUUGUGUAAAAAGAACACCGCUUGGGGGGGGCGGGGGGGCGAAAGCCCUACUAAGCAGGUAUAUACAAAAGUAUGAAGGCUAUUGCUUAACGCAUUGUAAGCCACCCUGAGUCUCCGGAGAAGGGCGGCAUAUAAAUCAAACCAAUAAAUUAAAUAAAUAAAUAAAUACUGUCCCUCCUCCUUCUUAAAUAUUUUACAAAUCCCCUCAUUCUGUAUCUUUCUUAAUCUUCAAAGCCAUAAAUCAUCAAUUCACUUUUUUCUUCUUUCAACAAAAGGUUUGUGUAAGAUUUCCAAUCUUUCAAAAAAAGUUUUUAUAGUUUAUCCUGUCACCAAGCAAGUUUAAUUUCUCCAUUUUUGUAAAUUCUGUCAUUUUUACAAUCCUUUCCUCUGCUGCAAGAAUUUCAUUAUUUCGCCAUCCAAUGGGUUCAGUUUGGCUAGGAAAGGCUGAUCAUAUUUAUCACAAAUAGCUGUUAUGCCAAACACAGAUGAAGCAUCAUUGCCGUGCAUGCACAGUCCAGAGGGAAAAAAUGGCAGCCAACUAAACAGCAGACUUUGUCUGUAAAAUAUGCAAAGUCAUUUCUCUGUAGUAGCUGAUGUCAGCAUAACACUAAGCACCUAUAAGUCUUCAUAGAGAUGGGGGAAACUACACACAAAUCAAAACAAAUAGUAUAACAUCACAUUCCAUACACAACUUCUACGUAAAAUGAAUAUCAUUUAGUCAUGAAAAUAAAUACGAGAACAAAGAGAGAAUACAAUUAAUGUAUCACUAAUUAUCCUGUAUCUCUCCUUACUAGUACUUUUCAUUGGGCAAUUUCAGUCUAUGUGUUCAAGUUUAUCUGGCUACCUAGAACAGAGAAUGAUGGCAUUAAAGGACAGUUACAUUUGACAAAAAUAAAAGUACAUUCAAGUUAUAUUUGAACUGUUUUCAGUUCUCAUGCUGUUGUAAAUUGCUGCGACUAAUUAUCCCAGCAUGCAAUAUGAGAAGGAUAAGGUUAGAAGACCAUGUUGCUGGGACUCAUCAUCUCAGCAGGGCUGUAUCUUUUCAUUACACUACAAGGAAACAUAAUCUACUCUGUGUAAUACUCUUUCUUUGUAAAUUGACCUUGAGGUGCCAUAAAGGUUAUAUUCCAAAGCAUAAAUCAACCCAUAUUUAAUUUCUUCGCAAAGGGACUUCAUCUAACCUUACUUGAAAAGUAGAACGAAAAACUGCAGGUCAGCAGGACACUGCAAUCCAAAUAAUCUGUUAAAAGUUUUUUGAAUUUAUUUUUAAAAAGCUAUGUUCCUGCCUUUUUUGAAGUUUUAGAAUUAGAAUUCAGUACUCCUCAAAAGCUAAAAAUUGACUAAAGCAAUAAUGCUGAUGAAAUUAGAUUAAAAUUACAACUGUGAUUUCAGAGAAAUUAACAAAAAUCUAACAUUUUGCUACAUUGGUUCUUUGUUGUUUUGUUUUGUUUUUAAAUUAAACAUUUACAAAAAGUAA